AGUAAGAAUGCCAGAGAGUUAAUGGGCUUGGUUUAGGACCAAGAUAGGACGUGAGUCUUCUUACUU
rnacentral:tRNA from 1 species